GUCCGCGUGAAAAAAGAAAGUGAAAAGUCGUUUAAAACGGCGCGUCGGUCGUUUGAAUUCUUUUUCGAUUUCCGGCGCAUUACACAGAUGACGUAUUCCGCGGCAACGCAGAUUUUUUUUUUCUAGCAAUUCUGUUUGUAUGUGUGUGUAUUUGAUGACGUCAUUCCGAGUGUAUACGUUCGGUUUUUUUUUUUUAUUUACGAAUAUAUCCUCCCCUCCCAUAUUGUGGGCACCGCAGACAUUUGCGCGAUAU